AUUGAACGCUGGCGGCAUGCCUUACACAUGCAAGUCGAACGGCAGCACGGGUGCUUGCACCUGGUGGCGAGUGGCGAACGGGUGAGUAAUACAUCGGAACAUGUCCUGUAGUGGGGGAUAGCCCGGCGAAAGCCGGAUUAAUACCGCAUACGAUCUACGGAUGAAAGCGGGGGACCUUCGGGCCUCGCGCUAUAGGGUUGGCCGAUGGCUGGUUAGCUAGUUGGUGGGGUAAAGGCCUACCAAGGCGACGAUCAGUAGCUGGUCUGAGAGGACGACCAGCCACACUGGGACUGAGACACGGCCCAGACUCCUACGGGAGGCAGCAGUGGGGAAUUUUGGACGAUGGGCGAAAGCCUGAUCCAGCAAUGCCGCGUGUGUGAAGAAGGCCUUCGGGUUGUAAAGCACUUUUGUCCGGAAAGAAAUCCUUGGCCCUAAUACGGUCGGGGGAUGACGGUACCGGAAGAAUAAGCACCGGCUAACUACGUG
rnacentral:rRNA from 1 species